rnacentral:rRNA from 1 species
CGGACCAAGGAGUCUAACAUGUGCGCGAGUCGAUGGGUCUUGAAUAUGCCCAGAGGCGCAAUGAAAGCAAAGUGCUCCGUUCCCGAGUGUCCGGAGCCUAGUUGGGAUCCCCCCUGAGAUACGGGGGGCGCACCAGCGACCCGUCCUAUCCGAUUCAUCGGUUGGGCGGAGUUCGAGCGCACACGUUGGGACCCGAAAGAUGGUGAACUAUGCCCGGGCAGGACGAGGCCAGAGGAAACUCUGGUGGAGGUCCGUAGCGGUUCUGACGUGCAAAUCGAUCGUCGGAUCCGGGUCUAGGGGCGAAAGACUAAUCGAACCGUCUAGUAGCUGGUUCCCUCCGAAGUUUCCCUCAGGAUAGCUGGCGCUCGUCGUGUCAGUCUCAUCCGGUAAAGCGAAUGAUUAGAGGCCUUGGGGGCGAAACGACCUCAACCUAUUCUCAAACUUUAAAUGGGUGAGGAGUCCGACUUGCACGGUCGAAGUCCGGACGUGACGGAUGAGAGUGCCAAGUGGGCCACUUUUGGUAAGCAGAA